UUACAGCCAUAUCAUGUUGAUACACCAAUUCCUGUAAAAUCACUGAAGUUAAGCAAUGUUGGGCCAGGUCAGUACUUUGAUGGGUGACUGCUUGGGAAUAAUAGGUGCAGUA